GACGAACGCUGGCGGCGUGCUUAACACAUGCAAGUCGAACGGAAAGGCCCUGCGUUUGUGGGGUGCUCGAGGGGCGAACGGGUGAGUAACACGUGAGUAACCUGCCCUUGACUUUGGGAGAACUUCAGGAAACUGGGGCUAAUACCGGAUAGGAGCCCCUGCUGCAGGGUGGGGGUUGGAAAGUUUCGGCGGGUGAGGAUGGACGCGCGGCUGAUCCGCUGGCUGGUGGGGUAGUGGCUUACCAAGGCGUUGACGGGUAGCCGGCCUGAGAGGGUGACCGGCCCCAGAGUGCCUGAGAUACGGCCCAUGCUCAUUCGGGGAGCAGGAGUGGGGAAUUUUGCCCGAUGGGCCGAGUCCUGAUGCAGCGACGCCGCGUGCGGAAUGACGGCCUUCGGGUUGUAAACCGCUUUCGCCUGUGACGAAGCGUGAGUGACGGUACUAGGUAAAGAGGCACCGGCUACCUCCGU
rnacentral:rRNA from 1 species